ensembl:lncRNA
CAUUUCAAUAAUCAUUUUAUUAGUACAGAAGAAUCCCCACUAGUAUUUACAUAGUGCAAAAAAGCUGUUAUUACCCCCCAAAUGUGAUAUAACAAUUAUCCUUCAUAGAGCAAAAGAUGAAAAUCCCUUCAUGUUAUAACUCACACUAAUUUUGCUAGUUUUUUAUUAGAGCAUUACAAUUAAGACAUUAAAUUAUAAACUUAUGUGGUAUAUUUAGAAAUUAAAUUAUAAAAUAAUACAAAUACUUUCAAGGUGUGAUGUGCCAACAAAGUUUAAAUUUUUCUCAUUAGGAUUCAGAUUUCAGAUUAAGCAAACAGUUUGGUUGAUUCUGUGAUGUAUGUAAAGGUUGGAAGGGAUGAGGGAGGAGGAAGAUGUCUGUAAAUAAAUUAUUUCACAGAAUUUUUUUAAAUCAAAAAAAGAUAAACAUUUUUAAAUGGGUUAAUGUUCUAACCUGUUGGCCCAACAUACAGAAAAUACAUGACAAGGGUGUUUUUUUAAGCAAACAGCAGCUUUACAAACAGUAAUACUUCUUUAUACAUAUAUUAAAGUAACAAUAUGUUAAGAUUGAACAGUUGUAUGUUAAAGAGUUGAAAAUGAAUGUAGCAUUCACUACUCAUUUGCACAUUUCAAUUCCCACCCCUCCCUCCUCCCCCAGCUUAUUUAGAAAUCAGACAAGUACAUAUUUGGAUAUUAAUUUCUCAGUAUUUAAACUAUGUGAAUUCCUUUUGACUAAUUCUUUUCGAAAUACUGGAAUCAUAUAAAAUACCAUCUCUGCAAAAACAACCUCCAGUCAAAGCCAGUAAAAACUUCUCAAUGUAUAACACACAUUACUUUUCCAUGUUUAGUCAAAAGAAAUAUAUUACAUCAUUUACAAACAUAUUUAAACCAAAAAUUAAGCUAAUAUGAACAUUUGUCUUUUGAGAAGUAAUCUUCACAGCAAACAAACCUACUGAAGCAGAAAUCUAACUUUGGAAGUGUAAUUCAUAUUUUAGUUAAUAUACUUAUAUACGGAAAUAGAAAUCUAUUAUUAAUUAUUGCCAGUAAAACCACCUCUACACAUUAAGAAAAAGAAUCACUAUGUUUUUUUAUUUCUUGUGAUGAUGAACCCUUACUCUUUCCACUGGAUCUCUUUAUAGGUCUUCAAAGAGCCAAGCACGCCCACUUCAAAAAAUACAUAAAAACUUAACUGAUUUUCACAACUCCUCCAAAGUCUGUAAUUCAAUAUUCCAAAAUUUAAAGGAAACAAGUUACAAAGACGUGAUUAAUAUUUAUUUAAGCAUGCUCUCAAAAUGGUAACAUUGCCUUUACUAAUUCUUGGGUUGUCCUCUCAAGGUGACCUGUCUCAUAAAAAGGCGAUGGUGCCUUGGAUUUGCUGGCAGAAGAGGUACUGCAUAUGCGAGAGCAUUUACCGAACAUAGAAAUAAACACUUCUGAAGUCCAUAGCAAAAUUAAAAGUUACCAGUGUUCUGAAGAUUUCCUCAACUUCUCUUUUGAUACAAAUGUCAAAAAUCUAAAACGACAAUUCAUGUUCAGAAGAGAUAUAAAAUAUAAGAAACCUGUGAAAAGCCAUCAUCUCAAGGUCAAGAGUUAUCUGAAUCACUGACAUCGAGCAAAGGAAAUUUACACCAUAAAAAGUAUGAAAGUUUUGAAAUUCACUUUUAAGACUGUCAGUAGUUCAAAACCUCUAUCAUUUCUUUAAAUCAAUGAACACUUCCAAAUGUGUAGAGACAGUAAGAUCUGCCACGUAUAAAUCCAUGAGUACUAUUUCAGAGGCUUCAUUCCUUACCUGCUGUGUUCCUUUAAGUAUUGGAUAUUUAGUGCCUAGGAAGUCUAUACUGGAGAACAGUUUAGACAGGACAGUAUAAUAAUGUCCCCUUUUAGCACAAUAAUAAAGUUGAUUGACUAACAUUUUCUACACAGCAAUGCUCCUAAACUUUCACAAUUCACAAAUACUAAAUCACCAACCAAGAAUCCAAUCUCUCCAGUAAUUAAAUGCCAGCAUUAUAAAACAUGAAAACUAGCACAGUAGUCCCAAUGAGUUCAGUAAAGAAUCUGCCCAAUUCUUCUCUCCUGCCUCUGUGAGGCAAAGCCCUGCCCCAGAUAAUCAGGGCAGGGAAAAUACCCCUUCCUUCUCAGUUGUGUGCCUGCUUAUGGAAGCUUGUAAGUGGGAAACUGGCAUACACACACACACACACACGUGUGCAUGGGGGGGUGGGGGGGCAGUUGGGGGUGGUGGGGAGUUGGAUGGAAGACACAAAAAAUACAGUUUGUCAUUCUUCCACCAUUACAUAAACUUGUAAAGUCACUAAAGUCCAGGUGGUGACUGACUAGCAAAUAAAACAUUUAGCUCAUUUAUUGUCUCCUAAGCAGGUAUACAAACUCCUAGAGAAGGGCAGAGAUAAAUAAUAGUGAAUAGACAAUACCUACAUAUCUGUAUACUCUAAAUCAUCUAAUAGUUUCAGCACAAUUAGAACAACUUUCUCUUAUCUUCUAAAACUUCCUCAUCUAAGCCUUGAUUAUCAGGAUACAUGUCACAAGUUGUGCAAAGUUCCUUUCCCUGACCUCCUGACAGUAACUACGGUCAUUGCUAUGUGGAAGGUGCUCAAGGCUAGGUGCAAAAUAGGUAUCUUUUAAAAGGUGAAACGGUUUUGCACUCAGGACAAGUUUGGAUACUCAAUCAAAUCCAUAUCUCAAAUCAAGAGUCCUGAACCAGAAGCAUGCAAGAGAACACACCAGUAUAAGACUUUGUUUCUGAAGAGUUUACAUGUAAGUGCAGCAGUCAUACAAUCGGUUACAGUUAUUCACCUGUCAAAAUGUGCCUAACUUUUGUAAAUAAGUCUAUGUACAAGAGCAUUCCUGAGGUA